GAGGGUGUAGCUCAAGCGGUAGAGCACAUGCUUAGCAUGCAUGAGGUCCUGGGUUCAAUCCCCAGCAUCUCCU
rnacentral:tRNA from 1 species